AAGGGAUCAUGUACUGUAAGGAACUGGUUUCCAUGGCAACCAAUUAGUGUCAGAAAGCGAGGGCUGUGAUGUCAGAAUGGGGGUAGGGUGAGAAAUUUCCAUCCCCCAUAUCCCUGGCUCCUGGCUCAGUGUCUGCUGCUUCGCAGGGAAAGCUCUGGAAGAGAUGCAGGACAUUGCACUCCUGAGAAGCACACGUUCUGGGUCAGGGCCCAGGAGUCGGGACAGAGUAGAAGAUCUGAUUCACCUGGCAGUGUCCCUACCUGCCACUCGACUCCAAAAUGCUGACAAGGCAGUGGGCCCAGUAGAGAGACAGUGUGGGCGUACUCAGAAGGGUAACAAUAAUCUGAGACCGUUGCCUGCGCUCCUCCCUCUUCCCUGGGAGAGGGAUCCUAGGCUUGCUUUAUUCGUUGGGGGGGCGGCUGUGAACAAGGCCCAGAAGGAAGGAAGUCUUGGCUCAAAGAAGCCUUGUCAUACAGCUAGUAUAAAGGCAGGGCUACAGUAUAGUUAAAGCAUCCUAGACUUAGUCUUCGCUUCAAGGAGAAAGGGUUUCAGCGUAAAGCUUGUCCAGAGUGACUUCGCCCACAGGGACCCUGUUCUCAGGCCUCAUUUGAGAUUUGUUGUCACCCCCCCAAAGGCUGGAUGUUUUGGUCUAUGGGAGGAAAGUACAUGCUUUAAAUAAAAGGGUAGGGAGCCCAGCUGGGAAUACAUCCAACAGUGUAGGAGAGAUAUCUGGUAGGCACUUAGCUCCUGAUUCUUAGGGCAAAGAAUGAGAUAUGGGUAACAGAACUCCAGCAGUUUGAACCUCUAGGUCUUUGGGACCAUGGUUUAGCUUCUCGAGGGAUAGUCUGGCCAGUCUGGGGAGGUCAUUCCAAUAAGAAGACAAAAGGCAGAAUGCAAAGAACCUUGUCUGUAGGGGAGAAAAGAAGGUUGGCUGUUCAUUCACUGGACUUCGUGGCCAAAGUAUGUUCCCCCCAUCACACCAGCCGGGCAGAGCCUGCCGUAACAAUGAGGAUGACGAUGAUGAUGAGAGACAGCACUAUAUUUUCAAGCUAUAUUUUCAUAGCCCGCCACAAAACACCCUCAUCCUGCAGUAGCCCCAUGGGUGGGUAGGUAGGCAGGACUCGUCUGCAGGUUGGUCUGGAGGCAGACUUUGGGAUGGAGACCAAGGCGCUAGAACUUUCCUGGCGAGUGCCCUUGGGAUUAUCACCAGUGCAAGAGAAGGCAUUUCUCCAGAGGGAGAAAUUGGGCUGCGCUGUAGUCUCAGAAAAAGGCCUUCACCAACCUCAAGGGAACUCUGAGGCAGGGAUGGCCCUUCUGAAUGGUCCCGAGGUAGGGAGAGGUGGCUGGGCCUUCCUAUGUCCAUGGUGACAAGGCAUUGGAUGCAGGCUGCCCAGGGAAAGGCAUGGCCUUAGGUGAGACAGCUCUCUUCUGCAGAGACAAAUCCAAGGGAGCCUGACAGGGCAGGGCAACAGUUGGAGGCCCUCCCUCAGUACCCAGGAAGCACAGCAUUGCACCCCAGCCUCCGCCAUAGCAGUUAUCUCUCUCCUUUCGAAGAUGACGAAGCUGAAGUUCAGAGAGGUGUGAUGAGCUCCUUGUCGCACAGCUAGCACAGAGGCAGGGCUACAGCAUAGUUAGUCCCAGCAUCCUGGACUUAGUCUUUGCUUCACGGAGAAGGGGUUUCAGUGGCAAACUAGUCCGGAGUGACUUUGUGAGUACAUCGUCGAGCGAUCACUUGCCCUGGGCUCCAUGGAGGAUAGACGGAUGAAGACUGGAACCCAUGACUCCAACGUCUUUGCCUCACACUCUCUGUUGCGGGCCAUGCUCCAGGCCAUAUUGGCCUUUUCCUGUUGUCUCUGAAUGUGCCACAUUCUAAACAGCCACUGGGGCUGUGCGUGUGAGGUUGCCUCUUCUUGGAAGACUCCUCUCAGGGCAAUAGACCACUCCAGCAUGGCCUUCACUCCUCCCAUUUCAGGUUUACCCAGAUGAAUCCGUGCUGACUUCUGAAAUGGACCUGAGUCUUCAGCAGCCCAACACCAAGCUCUGGAGAGUUCGGGGCCCGGUCAUCGCCCCUGGAUGUAUUGGUGAUGCAGCUUCUUGCAUUGGGCUCCUCUCUGCCCUGACAGGCUCUCAGAGGUCACAGCGGGGCCCAGGGCCCCGGGAAGAUGGAGUUACACAUACGAGGCUGACUGCGGCCAGAUCAGGAGAGUCGGCCUGUUCUCCCAAUUCCUUCCAUCCCCUCCCCUGCUCCCUGACUCUUCCCCCCACCUGGUUUUUCAGGGCAAGGCAUUCAUUUGCCUGCCUCUCCUGUGGUCCCUUUCUUGCACCCACGAUAAGGAGCCUGCCCGUCAGCUGAGUGAUUGUAUUUUUUUACAGUUCCUAGCACAAACCUUCUCAUUUAUAUGUAAAGCAGCCAUUAGUCAUAGCUCCGUUCCCACACACUGCCUGAUGUACAAUCACAUUUUGCAGCGGAUGAAUCUUUCCACACAGCUGCUCUGCUAUGAAUAAUCCGUCUCCAGGCCCAUAAAUCAGAAAAAAAUCA